rnacentral:rRNA from 1 species
GAUGAACGCUGGCGGCGUGCCUAAUACAUGCAAGUCGAGCGAACAGAUGAGGAGCUUGCUCCUCUGACGUUAGCGGCGGACGGGUGAGUAACACGUGGAUAACCUACCUAUAAGACUGGGAUAACUUCGGGAAACCGGAGCUAAUACCGGAUAAUAUAUUGAACCGCAUGGUUCAAUAGUGAAAGACGGUUUUGCAGUCACUUAUAGAUGGAUCCGCGCCGCAUUAGCUAGUUGGUAAGGUAACGGCUUACCAAGGCAACGAUGCGUAGCCGACCUGAGAGGGUGAUCGGCCACACUGGAACUGAGACCCGGUCCAGACUCCUACGGGAGGCAGCAGUAGGGAAUCUUCCGCACUGGGCGAAAGCCUGACGGAGCAACGCCGCGUGAGUGAUGAAGGUCUUCGGAUCGUAAAACUCUGUUAUUAGGGAAGAACAAAUGUGUAAGUCACUAUGCACGUCUUGACGGUACCUAAUCAGAAAGCCACGGCUAACUACGUG